GCUAGGCUUGAACGACGGCGCAUAACGUUGAGAUGAUGAUCUGGUACUAGUAGAGAGUACAUUGGGGUUCAAGAAGCAUGCAGUUGAAGCCAUUACUGUUUUCUCUGCUCCUUUUCCACGAGAAAAUUAUACAGUCACCAUUUUGACUUCAAACCACUGGUAUUGCCACAGUUGUUACCUUCCCGGCCAGUCCUCCUUUACUACCAGUCCCCUGCCACUACUAGCCUCUACGUGAGGAAAUGCAUGCAUUAAAGGUUACACCCUUGUACGCUUGACAUUCAUGUAGAGGCAAGCAGAGUCAAAUGCCGAGCCUCUACCAGCAAAGGGGGACUGCCAUGCCAAUCCAAGCAGCAUUUCGUAUACAUAUAUCACUCGUGCAUAUGCCACAGUGACACAAAAUUCCAAAAAAUUGAAAAGUAUUGAUCAUAAGAAUAUAUGCUUAACAAUGUUUUCUAGUUAUUUCUCUUUACCCUGUUCUUCUUUGUUGGGGGACAAGGCGAGUAUGUUGAGGAUAGCUUAAGGGCCUUGAAAUAUUUAGUCCACAAAGGUAUAUUUUAAAAAACAAUGGAAACUUGUAUAAGCAAUUCAAUUUAAAAAUAUUUAAAAGGUCCGUGCCUGUUUACAUUUGUAGUGCCUGUUAUUGUUUUAUAGCAUUUACAUAGGAAAUAGGAGUUUCAUGUAUAAUAAGUAUUAUGAGUUGCUGAAUGUUAAUGGAUGAAAAGUCUACGGAUCAGUUGGUCAUAUUAUUUUGCCAUAUUCGUAUCCUUCAUUACAUCAAGGUACCAUAUAAAGAUUGAACUACAAUUGGAAUCUGUAUUCUGUCAAUUCAUUAUUGAAAGCCACACAUCGGAGUGGCAUAUCCUGUCCCAGUUCUUGAAAUAAUAAUUCUGCCUAUGGUUCAGCCGGUCCUAUUCAUAUUCACUUAAGUAAAUUAAGCUAUGACAAAAAUUGGCUUCCUACCAUGAUUUUCUAACCUGCAGUAAUUGUGAUUACAUAUAAAUGCCACUAAAAUCAUCUUAAUUGGGUGCUAUCUAGAAUGUUAAUUCUUUAGUUACAAGAACUGGUAGGUGAAUGGUCUCAUGGGAUGGUGUGCAGCAUGGAAGGGAUAGACUCCUAUGGAAUGCUUUAUUGAAAGGAAUAUAGCAACUAGGAUUGUAUAGACUACAUGUAAGUGCCUAUCUGUGUAUGAGAAAAAGAAAGAAAAACAAAGUAUAUUAUCAUAAUGAAAUUUUGUUAUUACACUGUACAUAGUUUACUAUAAUGGAAAAUGUAUUUGAUGAUUAACUUCCCUAUCUUUCCACAAAACGUCAACCUUUAGUAUUAUUUUUUAUGUGCACAGGGUAUUAAAAGAUUCUUCAUGUUAUUUUAACUUUCUUGAAACACCAUUUGUCUUUUUGCUUUGGGAACGCUGGUUGACAUCUUGAUCACAUGAUUGUAUCAACAAUUCUUAGGUCCGGCAAAAACUGUAUUGGUUUGGUAUAUCUUAUUAACUCCUCCAUCAUUCCUGUUUCGUAAGAUUUCAACGAAGGGACCCAUUCCUCCAUGAUUCCACUUGAUUCCUGUCCCCAUUUUCUGUCUUCCUGGUUCAAGGUGUCUAAAUGUUUUAAAUAGAACUCUUGUAUUUAUGGAUUCUAAGAGGAUCUUAUUGGUUUCAUUUGGUAAAAUUAAUGCAAAAUGUUCUUGGAAAGAUACUGAUGGUUUCACCUUCUGUAGGUUUAUAUAUGGCACCGAGUCUCAGGAGAGCUCGUUUUGACGUUGUCUGGACAUUCUGGGGCUGUCAACUGUGUUAGUUGGAAUCCUGCUAAUCCUCACAUGCUGGCUUCCGCAAGUGAUGACCGUACAAUUCGCAUAUGGGGCUUGAAUCGGGUAUGUUUAAAUCACGAUGAUAAGCACAGUAAUGGCACCUAUCACUGCAAUGGUGGAACUUGAAGUUGGGGACGAGAAACACUGUCUAUCAUUGUAUUUCUUAACAAAUUGGUUUAUGUAAAUUUUUUUACUUCAACAUUCAGUUGACAUAUAAUGAACAAGAAUUUGAACAUGCAUUCACCAGGACAAUAAACUGUGUACUUCGUUUCCAUGUUUUCAUCUGCUGACCGAUGACCAAAAAGACUGAUGAUAAAGAUAAAAUAUGGGAAAAGUAAUUGUUGAAUUAUUGAUGCUAUGCCAAAGAGAGAAAAUAGAACACACCUGUUCACUCUACACAAUGGAUUAAAAUACACUGGUGGUGAAAGAACUUCAAUAAAAUUCCACGUUGGUCGAUUGAACUUCAUUUUGUUUCAAGUUGGUCAUUGAAAAACUUUUUUUAAAGGUGGUUGCUCCAGCCAUAUCCGUUAGCUUGAUUAAUGCAAAAUUGUCAUGUCAGCUUUUCCUUUAAUCGGACUAUGGACGAAAUGACCAAAUUAUAGGAAAUGUGCUUGUAGGGUGACCAACUUGGAACGAAAUAACUAUUUGUUCAUGACUGCCUUGAACAUGUCUGGCGUUGCCCUUUUAAUGCUUUGUCUAUAAUAAAGCUUUUAGAAAGGCAGGUGUGAGAUCUCUUUUCCAUUUCGUGUCCAGUCCAACCUACCAAAUAUGCCCUCGAUAUAAGCGUUUGACAUGUUGAGUAGUUCGGCUACAUUUUCCUUUUACUUGUUUUUGCUUCUUACAUUGCUAUGUUUUAUUACUCAUUGCAUUUUCCGGUAUAAUUUGGUGAAUUUGAUGAAAAGGUGUAAAUAAACUAGACGAAACUAAGCGUCAUGUCUAUGUAGGUUAGGAUUGAUUGCAACUACCACGAUCGUGUUUGUUAGUGUGCAUUCUUCGUGUUAGCUAUACGAAUUUACUUGUAUCCCUGAUUGGUACUUAAUUUUUACGUAUGUUGCUUGGGAUGAACCUAAAGAAGAAAGGUUAUUCGAAAAGAAAUUGACCCUUCACAAAGUAGUGUAAGCAAGAUGAAAGUUAUAAGCCGGCAUCUUAAUUGCUGAGACUUGGCACCAAAAAGUUGUUAACGAUGACCCCUGAACAAGUUUCUUCACUUGAGUCGUAAUAAAAUCCGAAUAGGGGAGAAUUAUAACUCAUCAGAGAUAGUGUCUUCUUGUUUUACAUCAAGGCAACUCAUUAAAGAGACUUCAUCGUGUGCAAAAAUAGUGCUGAAUUAUCCAUAUUAGCUUUCUCCAAGUUUUGAACAACUCAAUUCAUCAAAGAUCAUAUUUAUAAGUGAAAUUACAUACAAAUAAUCCACAUCCCAUAUCAAGCAAUUUUGAAUGAACUUGCUGUGCUCUCCACAAAUUUCCUCGCACCUUUGAACCAUCUCUUGUCUCCAGCUUGAGCCUUGCAAAUGUAUAGCUUCCCAUCAGACACUGUGGCUGAGAUCAGUUGGUGUUUGCCGCCCUCAUCUCCGUCAGCCGUCCUCGUCAGCACAGAUAAGAAAUAGUACUUUUUUCCACCAAUAACUUGGGUGUCUGUCUCCAAUAUGUUUGCAGUUGCCACAGCAUUGGCAUCAAAUCCACCCUAUAAUUAUAACUUCAAUCAGAUUCCAUAAGAACGGUUUAUAUGGAAAGGACAGAACUGAUAUCCUGCCUAGAAGAUAUCUUGCCCAACGAUGAGAUGACAAAAUAUUUAAACAUGUAUAUAUAGAAAAAGGAAUGUUUUCGAUGCAUUUGUGAUUUACCUCUGCAUCAGUUUUUCCGAAGUAGGCUUGCUUUCCUAGGAGAUAGUCCACCUGAAAUUAUUGACGUCAAAAUUUCAUCAACUCACAAUUAUCUGACAUAGAAAGUCAUAGAAUAUGAUAUUGAGACGCGUCAUUCAAAUAACCUAUAAAUGGGAAGUGUGUUGAAGUUAACAAACUCCAACAGCUUAAAUUUUUAGAUUGAAAAUUAUUACCUUGGUGAGGAACUCUUCAGGAGAACCAUAGUCAGUGAUAGAUUUCUUGUCAGUAGAGGUUACCAUAACAGAUACAUUGCUGGUGGCAUCAAAAUUGUCCUCAUACCUCAGAACCUGAGUAUAAUUUCAAUAUAAUUUCAAUCAGAUUCCAUAAGAACGGUUUAUAUGGAAAGGACAGAAUUGAUAUCCUGCCUAGAAGAUAUCUUGCCCAACGAAGAGAUGACAAAAUAUUUAAACAUGUAUAUAUAGAAAAAGGUAUGUUUUCGAUGCAUUUGUGAUUUACCUCUGCAUCAGUUUUUCCGAAGUAAGCUUGCUUUCCUAGGAGAUAGUCCACCUAAAAUUAUUGACGUCAAAAUUUCAUCAACACACAAUUAUCUUACUUAGAAAGUCAUAGAAUAUGAUAUUGAGACGUCUCAUUCAAAUAACCUAUACAUGGGAAGUGUAUUGAAGUUAACAAACUCCAACAGCUUAAAUUUUUAGAUUGAAAAUUAUUACCUUGGUGAGGAACUCUUCAGGAGAACCAUAGUCGGUGAUAGAUUUCUUGUCAGUAGAGGUUACCAUAACAGAUACAUUGCUGGUGGCAUCAAAAUUGUCCUCAUACCUCAGAACCUGACCAGGGAACUCUCUUUCUUUGCUUGGAUUCCACUUUGAGGGAAUUGAUAACUUGAAUCCGUCUCCAUCAUAGGGCAAGAAAUCUGUGUUUUCCUUUGGCU
rnacentral:lncRNA from 1 species